rnacentral:rRNA from 1 species
CAGCGAGAGAGCCGUGAAGGUAGAGCACUGAAUAUGCGAUGGCCGCAUCCCGCGGUACUGAGCAUAAUCAAACUCCGAAUGUCACGGUGUCAUCUGCGGCAGUCAGACGGCGAGUGAUAAGGUCCGUCGUCAAGAGGGAAACAGCCCAGACCAUCAGCUAAGGUCCCAAAGUGCAUGCUAAGUGGAAAAGGAAGUGGAGACGUGCAGACAACUAGGAGGUUGGCUCAGAAGCAGCCAUCCUUCAAAGAGUGCGUAACAGCUCACUAGUCGAAUGACUCUGCGCCGAUAAUUUACCGGGGCUAAGCAUGACACCGAAGCUAUGGACAGGAAUGUGGUAGGGGAGCAUUGCAUGCAGCGGAGAAGCAUGACCGGGAGGGCAUGUGGAGCGCAUGGAAGAGAGAAUGCCGGCGUGAGUAGCGGCACGUGGGUGAGAAUCCCACGCACCGAUGGCCCAAGGUCUCCAGAGGAAGGCUCGUCCUCUCUGGGAUAGUCGGGACCUAAGGCGAGGCCGAAAGGCGUAGCCGAUGGACGACGGGUGGAUAUUCCCGUACCCGAUGUGUGGCGAUGGAGUGACGGAGAAGGCUCAGGCAACCAGCUGCUGGAAUAGCUGGGGCAAGCGAGAUACCUGCGCACCAGGGAAAUCCGGUGCGCAUAAGGGGAAGGCGCGAUGCAUACGGAAAGCUUCGGCAAGUACGGAAAAGCUGAGAGCAGGCUUCCAGGAAAAGCUUCUAGCACAACACACAUCGGCCCGUACCGAAAAUGGACACACAUGGGCAAGGAGAGAAUCCUGAGGUGAGCGAGAGAACUAUAGCUAAGGAACUCUGCAAAAUGACCCCGUAACUUAGGGAGAAGGGGUGCUCCAGAAAUGGAGCCGCAGUAAAACGGCCCAAGCGACUGUUUACCAAAAACACAGCUCUCUGCGAAGGCGCAAGCCGAAGUAUAGGGGGUGACGCCUGCCCGGUGCUGGAAGGUCAAGGGGAGCUGUCAGCGCAAGCGAAGCAGCGAGCCGAAGCCCCAGUAAACGGCGGCCGUAACUAUAACGGUCCUAAGGUAGCGAAAUUCCUUGUCGGGCAAGUUCCGACCCGCACGAAAGGCGUAACGAUUUGGGCGCUGUCUCAGCUGUAGACUCGGUGAAGUCUUAGUACCUGUGAAGAUGCAGGUUGCCCGCGACUAGACGGAAAGACCCCAUGGAGCUUCACUGCAGGUUGACAUUGGGCUUGGAUGCAUGAUGUACAGGAUAGGUGGGAGGCUGUGAGCCGUGCGCGCCAGCGUACGGGGAGCCGCUGUUGGGAUACCACCCUUCAUGCAUCUAGGUCCUAACCGGAGGCAACGGGCCACGGGACAGUGUCAGUCGGGCAGUUUGACUGGGGCGGUCGCCUCCCAAAGAGUAACGGAGGCGCCCAAAGAUACCCUCAGCAUGGAUGGAAACCAUGCAUAGAGUGCAAAGGCAUAAGGGUGUCUGACUGCGAGACAUACAGGUCGAGCAGGGACGAAAGUCGGG